rnacentral:rRNA from 1 species
UCCGGUUGAUCCUGGCAGAGGUUACUGCUAUCGAGGUUCGACUAAGCCAUGCGAGUCGAAUGUAGCAAUACAUGGCGUACUGCUCAGUAACACGUGGACAACCUACCCUUAGGUCGGGGAUAAACCCGGGAAACUGGGUAUAAUACCCGAUAGUCCUCGGAUGCUGGAAUGCACCGAGGUCUAAAGCUCCGGCGCCUAAGGAUGGGUCUGCGGCCUAUCAGGUAGUAGUGGGUGUAGCGUACCUACUAGCCUACGACGGGUACGGGUUGUGAGAGCAAGAGCCUGGAGAUGGAUUCUGAGACACGAAUUCAGGCCCUACGGGGUGCAGCAGGCGCGAAAACUUUACAAUGCUGGAAACAGCGAUAAGGGGACCUUGAGUGCCAGGUUACAAAUCUGGCUGUCGUGAUGCCUAAAAAGCGUUGCAUAGCAAGGGCCGGGCAAGACCGGUGCCAGCCGCCGCGAUAACACCGGCGGCUCGAGUGGUAACCGCUAUUAUUGGGUCUAAAGGGUCUGUAGCCGGCCGGAUAAGUCUUUUGGGAAAUCUGGCAGCUUAACUGUCAGGCUUUCAGAGGAUACUGUCUGGCUCGAGGCCGGGAGAGGUGAGAGGUACUUCAGGGGUAGGGGUGAAAUCUUGUAAUCCUUGAAGGACCACCAGUGGCGAAGGCGUCUCACCAGAACGGACCUGACGGCAAGGGAC